UGAUGUUCGGCUGUGAAAAGCAUGCAGCACCACACUGCAGUUCCUUGUAUCUGUCCAUUGUAGACUCAUUCAAGAUUUAUUGGAAGAGAAAAACUUUGCAACGAUGGAAGAUAUAUGAAGGUGAAUGUAGACUUCAUCUUUGCUCGAUAUACAUCAUGUUUUCUUGCUGACAAAGUUAUAUGUUCGAGUGGUUUCCUUCUCAUGGAUCUACUUGAAAGAUCUGAUGGGUUUUAUUCAAACAUAUGGACCAUGGUUAGCCAUGGUUUUUAUCACAAGUCAUUUUUCUGGUGCUAAUCUCAUGAAUAUGCCAUAGUUUGUGUGGCCAGACAAGUGCAUAUAUUUUUGAGGUGUGGAUUAUUCUCUUUACUUUUCCAUACAAAUUUUGUAACUUUUUUUUU